rnacentral:rRNA from 1 species
UACACGGAGAGUUUGAUCCUGGCUCAGAAUGAACGCUGGCGGCGUGCUUAACACAUGCAAGUCGUACGAGAAGAGAGGUUUCGGCCUCUUGGAAAGUGGCGCACGGGUGAGUAACGCGUGGGUAACCUACCCUCCGGUUAGGAAUAACGCCUCGAAAGGGGUGCUAAUACCAAAUAUGACCACGAGGACCUCGGUCCUAGGGGUAAAAGGUGGCGAGUCUUCGGACGCUACCGCUAGAGUGAUGGGCCCGCGUGACAUUAGAUUGAUGGUGGGGUAAUGGCCUACCAUAUUGUCUACGAUGUCUAGCUGGUCUGAGAGGAUGAUCAGCCACACUGGGACUGGAACACGGCCCAGACUCCUAC